rnacentral:rRNA from 1 species
CCCGCCCUGUUUUUAUCAAAAACAUGUCUGUGUGAAGUUACAUAGAGUCUAACCUGCCCACUGAAUAAUUUAAAAGGCCGCAGUAUAUUAACUGUGCAAAGGUAGCAUAAUCAUUAGUUUUUUAAUUAAAGGCUUGUAUGAAAGGUUGGACAAAGAAUAAUCUGUUUCUAUUCUUAUUUUUGAAUUUAACUUUUAGGUGAAAAGGCUUAAAUAAAUUUAAGGGACGAUAAGACCCUAUAAAUCUUUAUAUUAAAUUAUUUUUAGUUGAUUAAUAUUGUAAAUAUAAUAAUAAAAUAUCAAAUAUUGUGUUGGGGCGACGAGAAUAUAAUAAAUUAACUGUUCUAAAAUUAAAACAAAAUUGUUUGUAAAAAUAAUAGAUCCUUUAUAAAGAGUAAAAGUUCAAGUUACUUUAGGGAUAACAGCGUUAUUUUUUUUGAGAGUUCUUAUCGAAAAAAAAGUUUGCGACCUCGAUGUUGAAUUAAAAUUUCUUUGCGGUGCAGUUGUUGCAAAAGAGAGUCUGUUCGACUUUUAAAUUUUUACGUGAUCUGAGUUCCAGACCCGGAG